AGUGAACGCUGGCGGUAGGCCUAACACAUGCAAGUCGAACGGCAGCACAGAGGAGCUUGCUCCUUGGGUGGCGAGUGGCGGACGGGUGAGGAAUACAUCGGAAUCUACUCUGUCGUGGGGGAUAACGUAGGGAAACUUACGCUAAUACCGCAUACGACCUACGGGUGAAAGCAGGGGAUCUUCGGGCCUUGCGCGAUUGAAUGAGCCGAUGUCGGAUUAGCUAGUUGGCGGGGUAAAGGCCCACCAAGGCGACGAUCGGUAGCUGGUCUGAGAGGAGGAUCAGCCACACUGGAACUGAGACACGGUCCAGACUCAUACGGGAGGCAGCAGUGGGGAAUAUUGGACAAUGGGCGCAAGCCUGAUCCAGCCAUACCGCGUGGGUGAAGAAGGCCUUCGGGUUGUAAAGCCCUUUUGUUGGGAAAGAAAUCCAGCUGGCUAAUACCCGGUUGGGAUGACGGUACCCAAAGAAUAAGCACCGGCUAACUUCGUGCCAGCAGCCGCCGUAA
rnacentral:rRNA from 1 species